UACCAGCACCCCGAGUGGUCGGGACGUUUAUUGGGCCUAAAGCAUCCGUAGCCGGUUCUACAAGUCUUCCGUUAAAUCCGCCUGCUUAACAGAUGGGCUGCGGAAGAUACUAUAGAGCUAGGAGGCGGGAGAGGCAAGCGGUACUCGAUGGGUAGGGGUAAAAUCCGUUGAUCCAUUGAAGACCACCAGUGGCGAAGGCGGCUUGCCAGAACGCGCUCGACGGUGAGGGAUGAAAGCUGGGGAGCAAACCGG
rnacentral:rRNA from 1 species